AGCUUGCUUCUUCUGAUUUAGCGGCGGACGGGUGAGUAACACGUGGGCAACCUGCCCUGUAGAUUGGGAUAACUCCGGGAAACCGGGGCUAAUACCGAAUAAUCCAUUUCCUCACAUGGGGAGAUGUUAAAAGACGGUUUCGGCUGUCACUACAGGAUGGGCCCGCGGCGCAUUAGCUAGGUGGGGAGGUAACGGCUCACCAAGGCGACGAUGCGUAGCCGACCUGAGAGGGUGAUCGGCCACACUGGGACUGAAACACGGCCCAGACUCCUACGGGAGGCAGCAGUAGGGAAUCUUCCACAAUGGACGAAAGGCUGAUGGAGCAAUGCCGCGGGAGUGAAGAAGGUUUUCGGAUCGUAAAACUCUGUUGUGAGGGAAGAACAAGUA
rnacentral:rRNA from 1 species